ensembl:misc_RNA 7SK 7SK RNA
GGAUGUGAGGGCAUCUGGCUGCGACAUCUGUCACUCCAUUGAUGGCCAGGGUUGAUUUGGCUGUUCUGGCUGGCUAGAUGGGUGUCCUCUUCCUCCCUCACUGCUCCAUGUGUGUCCCUCUCGAAGCUGCAGGCUUGGUUGAAGAGGAGGACAACUACUCCUGAUAGAGGAGGAUCAUUUCAUCAGUCAGGAGUAUAAGAGUAGCUGUACUCUUCUGCUAGAACCUCCAAUUAAGCUCUCCAGGAGUAGUUUUUUGUAGCUGACAAUUGGUAGAGGUUUCAGUCUACAAUU